rnacentral:tRNA from 1 species
GCGCCGAUAGCUCAGCUUGGACAGAGCGGCUGGCUUCGGACCAGCAACCCGCGGGUUCAAAUCCUGCUCGGCGCG